rnacentral:misc_RNA from 1 species
GGACGUCCCUCGUCAGGGUGGGCUGCGUCCCGUAGGAUUGGCUUAACUGGGCCCCUACUACCUCUUGCUUCCCCUUCAACUAUACAAGCCGGACCCCUUCGACGUAUAAGAGACGAAUCGGCAGGCGGAUUGGUCUUUGCGCCUUCUGGACGCGGCCAUCUUUCCCUCCCACUAUACACCUUGCUCAGAUCUUCCCCGAGCGGAUGGGCACUCGGCUUUCCUCCCCGCGCUGGCUCUUCCCCUGGCCGUCUCAUUGCUACUGCUAGUUCUCUACUCUAUAGUGACUCUGACUACUGGUUUACGGCUACUGCUACUACAGUUUCCCUAUUACACUCUGACUAUUGCACUCUUACUGUUCUCACUGAGACUGAUAUACUCUUAGUACUCUUCUCCCUAUUACACUCUUAACGACUACUGG